UGGUGCAUAGCUCCUCUCAGGUUCCCCAGA
rnacentral:piRNA from 1 species